rnacentral:rRNA from 1 species
GACAGAGGGUGCGAACGUUGCUCGGAAUCACUGGGCGUAAAGCGCGCGUAGGCGGACCGGAAAGUCGGUUGUGAAAUCCCUGGGCUCAACCCAGGAACUGCAUCCGAAACUCCCGGUCUCGAGUGACGGAGAGGAUAGUGGAAUUCCCGGUGUAGAGGUGAAAUUCGUAGAUAUCGGGAGGAACACCAGUGGCGAAGGCGGCUAUCUGGACGUCCACUGACGCUGAGGCGCGAAAGCGUGGGUGCAAACAGG